rnacentral:rRNA from 1 species
AUACGGAGGGUGCGAGCGUUAAUCGGAAUUACUGGGCGUAAAGGGCGCGUAGGCGGCUGAUCAAGUCAGGUGUGAAAGCCCACGGCUUAACCGUGUGAAGUGCAUCUGAAACUGGUCGGCUUGAGUAUCGGAGAGGAAAGUGGAAUUCCCGGUGUAGAGGUGAAAUUCGUAGAUAUCGGGAGGAAUACCGGUGGCGAAGGCGACUUUCUGGACGAAUACUGACGCUGAGGCGCGAAAGCGUGGGGAGC